rnacentral:rRNA from 1 species
GAUGAACGCUGGCGGCGUGCCUAAUACAUGCAAGUCGAGCGAACAGACGAGGAGCUUGCUCCUCUGACGUUAGCGGCGGACGGGUGAGUAACACGUGGAUAACCUACCUAUAAGACUGGGAUAACUUCGGGAAACCGGAGCUAAUACCGGAUAACAUGUUGAACCGCAUGGUUCAACAGUGAAAGACGGUCUUGCUGUCACUUAUAGAUGGAUCCGCACCGCAUUAGCUAGUUGGUAAGGUAACGGCUUACCAAGGCAACGAUGCGUAGCCGACCUGAGAGGGUGAUCGGCCACACUGCAACUGAGACACGGUCCAGACUCCUACGGGAGGCAGCAGUAGGGAAUCUUCCGCGAUGGGCGAAAGCCUGACGGAGCAACGCCGCGUGAGUGAAGAAGGUCUUCGGAUCGUAAAACUCUGUUAUUAGGGAAGAACAAAUGUGUAAGUAACUAUGCACGUCUUGACGGUACCUAAUCAGAAAGCCACGGCUAACUACGUG